AUUGAACGCUGGCGGCAGGCCUAACACAUGCAAGUCGAGCGGAUGAAGGGAGCUUGCUCCUGGAUUCAGCGGCGGACGGGUGAGUAAUGCCUAGGAAUCUGCCUGGUAGUGGGGGAUAACGUCCGGAAACGGGCGCUAAUACCGCAUACGUCCUGAGGGAGAAAGUGGGGGGUCUUCGGACCUCACGCUAUCAGAUGAGCCUAGGUCGGAUUUGCUAGUUGGUGGGGUAAAGGCCUACUAAGGCGACGAUCCGUAACUGGUCUGAGAGGAUGAUCAGUCACACUGGAACUGAGACACGGUCCAGACUCCUAAGGGAGGCAGCAGUGGGGAAUAUUGGACAAUGGGCGAAAGCCUGAUCCAGCCAUGCCGCGUGUGUGAAGAAGGUCUUCGGAUUGUAAAGCACUUUAAGCUGGGAGGAAGGGCAGUAAGUUAAUACCUUGCUGUUUUGACGUUACCAACAGAAUAAGCACCGGCUAACCUCGUG
rnacentral:rRNA from 1 species